GGACCUUCUUGGGAAGCCACUUUCUUGUAUAAUUUUUUUAUUUCGCUUUGGAGAAUGGAUGAGCGUCUUCUUUGACAUGGCUUGCAAAAUCUUAUCUCGCGGUUCAACAAUCGAAUCGAACAAUCACGGAAUCUUGUCUCUCUCUAUAUCUCUCAGUAGCGUCUCUUUCUCUCUCUCUGGACGAUGAUGGUGUUUCAUUGGAAAGAAAUAUCAGCACUUUUGCCUGUUCAAUGGUAUGCUUUGCGCCUGGGUUUAUUUGCAUCAAUUAUAUCACCAUAGCAGUUAUUUUUUGCAAGUGGCUUGAAGAGAGCUUUUCAAAUUAAGGAUUUUGGUGAUAGUAUAUUCCUGGACUUGGUGGGUUUACUGACAGAAUGGACUGUCAGUUGCUUGAAGCAGCCUGGUGUUUUACAAACAUAGCGGCAGGAAAGCCAGAAGAAACUAAAGCUUUGUUGACUGCUUUACCAUUGCUCAUUGCUCAUCUUGGAGGUUGAUGAUGGUUUCUGCAUUUUCCAUUCAAUGUGAAAGAAUGUAAAUGGUUCUUUCUUUUUCUUAUCAGAAAAAGUAAAUGCUUUUUCUUUUUCUUCUUCUUUUUGUGUGUAGUAUUUUUUUCUUUCUCCAUUUCCUCUGGCUUUCUGAGACCUAAGAGUGACUGACAGUAAUUAAAGAUAUCAGGUUAAGUACUAUACGUUGAAAUUGGAUUACGUAACCACAAGUAUGUCCAUUUUUGGAUCAUUGAACUGCUGUUUUUGUGGAAUAGCACUAUUAUUGAGUUGGGUGAAGUAGUGACGGUUAGGGUGGAAUAGCACUAUUAUUGAAGUCUCCAAAGUAUGCAUUGCUCAUUGCUCAUCUUGGAUUA